AAGACACCUUUCUCUUCUGGGGCCCAUAAAGGAGCUAGAUAUCCCCAGCCUCAGAAGAAUCAUGACUAAUCUAGGCUAGGAAACAGUAGCUCCUAAAACAGUUAAGAAAUUAAGCAUUGGACUAGGUGAUUUUCUUCCAAUCUCACUUUUGUGGAUACAAAAGAAGGUCCCUGUUUUUUUGCUGGCAGAUCUGCAGCCUAAAGGAAGGAACUCAGCUCAGGUACUCAACAAUGCAUGCUAAGCAAGUUUCCUGAAGUUGGUUUGAAUCUUCUAACCACAAAACAUCUUAGGAGCAUGGAACUCCGUCCCUUCCUCCUUCCCCACCCCCACUACCCCAUGGGAGCACACGUUUUUCCAGCCAGACAAAGAAAGAAACAAAAUGGAGUGAAACCGAGCCAGAGAGCCAAAGUUUCAUUAGGGACAUCUGAAUAUAACUGUCUAUGUUUUCCAGAGCACAGGACAUAUGCUGGCCUAGCCUGGCUGUGCCAAUGGCAUUAGUGUGGAGGACAUCAGAAGGAUGUUGGAUCCAGUCCCAAACACAUCCUGAACCUCUCAGCAAAGAGCAACUGAAACUCAAGGCCAUGGGAAUGGAGAGUGUUUUCCAUGGACACUCUGAGUUUGUGGAGUUAAUCAAGCAUUUUCAAUAGUCUCUUUGGGGAAGCUGGU